rnacentral:RNase_P_RNA from 1 species
GAAGUGCCUGAGACAGUCGCUCAUUGAAUACAUUCAUUGAGAGGAAAGUCCGGACACCUUAAGGCAGUGCCGCCGCACGAAAGUGCGGGGAGCUGACAGCGAAAGCUCCAGCUCACGGAAAGUGUCACAGAAAAUAUACCGCCUGAACGAGUUUUACUUGAUCAGGUAAGGGUGAAAUGGCGAGUUAAGAGCUCACCGCCCCGAUGGUAACUGAGGGGGCAUGAUAAACCCCGCGCGGUGCAAGACAGAACAGGGAAAACGGGUAGCCUGCCCGGCCUCUUCGGAGAUGAUCCUGGGUAAUAGUCGCAGCAUGGUUCGCCCAGCUCCUGUCGUAUGACAGGAAGAUAAAUGACUGUCACCUGCCUCACUUCGGUGAGUCAGGACACAGAAUCCGGCUUAUGAGGGUACUUCCCAC